rnacentral:misc_RNA from 1 species
GAUGAAGAACGCAGCGAAAUGCGAUAAGUAAUGUGAAUUGCAGAAUUCAGUGAAUCAUCGAAUCUUUGAACGCACAUUGCGCCCGCCAGCAUUCUGGCGGGCAUGCCUGUUCGAGCGUCAUUUCAACCCUCAAGCUCUGCUUGGUGUUGGGGCCCUACGGUUGACGUAGGCCCUUAAAGGUAGUGGCGGACCCUCUCGGAGCCUCCUUUGCGUAGUAACUAACGUCUCGCACUGGGAUUCGGAGGGACUCUUGCCGUAAAACCCCCAAAUUUUUAAAGGUUGACCUCGGAUCAGGUAGGAAUACCCACUGAACUUAAGCAUAUCAAUAAGCGGAGGA